rnacentral:tRNA from 1 species
UUAAAGAUAGAUUAAUAUAAAUUAUUAGACUCAUAAUCUGAAGAUAAUCGAAAGAUUUCUUUAAU